rnacentral:rRNA from 1 species
GGGGGGGGGGGGGGGCGGGCGUGGGGGAGGGGGGUCGGGCGGGAAGGCGCGGCGGUUGUGGGGUGGUCGAGGGGGGAGCGGGUGGGUAACCCGGGGGUAACCUGCCCCUGAGUUUGGGAGAACGCUGGGAGACUGGGGGUAAUACCGGAUAGGAGCUCCUGCUGCAUGGGGGGGGUCGGAACGUUUCGGCGGUUGGGGAUGGACUCGCUGCUUAUCAGCUUGUUUGUGGGGGAGUGGCUUUCCAAGGCCUCGAGGGGUCGCCGGCCCUCGAUGGUAGACAGCCACAUGGGGACUGAGAGACGGCCCAGUCUCCUACGGGCGGCAGCGGUGGGGAAUAUUGCGCAGUGGGCGGAAGCCUGAUGCAGCAACGCCGCGUGCGGGAUGACGGCCUUCGGGUUGUAAACCGCUUUCGCCUGUGACGAAGCGUGAGUGACGGUAAUGGGUAAAGAAGCACCGGCUAACUACGUG